rnacentral:tRNA from 1 species
GCGGGCGUGGUGGAAUUGGUAGACUCGAUGGAUUUAGGUUCCAUUGCCAACAGGCGUGCGGGUUCGAGUCCCGCCGCCCGCA